rnacentral:rRNA from 1 species
AACGAACGCUGGCGGCAGGCUUAACGCAUGCAAGUCGAGCGCCCCGCAAGGGGAGCGGCAGACGGGUGAGUAACGCGUGGGAAUCUACCCAUCUCUACGGAAUAACGCAUGGAAACGUGUGCUAAUACCGUAUACGUCCUUCGGGAGAAAGAUUUAUCGGAGAUGGAUGAGCCCGCGUUGGAUUAGCUAGUUGGUGGGGUAAAGGCCUACCAAGGCGACGAUCCAUAGCUGGUCUGAGAGGAUGAUCAGCCACACUGGGACUGAGACACGGCCCAGACUCCUACGGGAGGCAGCAGUGGGGAAUUUUGGACAAUGGGCGCAAGCCUGAUCCAGCCAUGCCGCGUGAGUGAUGAAGGCCCUAGGGUUGUAAAGCUCUUUCACCGGUGAAGAUAAUGACGGUAACCGGAGAAGAAGCCCCGGCUAACUUCGUGCCAGCCGCCGCGGUAAGAC